GAUGAACGCUGGCGGCGUGCUUAACACAUGCGAGUCGAACGGAAAGGCUCCUGCUUGCAGGGGUACUCGAGUGGCGAACGGGUGAGUAACACGUGGGUGAUCUGCCCUGCACUUCGGGAUAAGCCUGGGAAACUGGGUCUAAUACCGGAUAGGACGAUGGUUUGGAUGCCAUUGUGGAAAGUUUUUCGGUGUGGGAUGAGCUCGCGGCCUAUCAGCUUGUUGGUGGGGUAAUGGCCUACCAAGGCGUCGACGGGUAGCCGGCCUGAGAGGGUGUACGGCCACAUUGGGACUGAGAUACGGCCCAGACUCCUACGGGAGGCAGCAGUGGGGAAUAUUGCACAAUGGGCGCAAGCCUGAUGCAGCGACGCCGCGUGGGGGGUGACGGCCUUCGGGUUGUAAACUCCUUUCGCUAGGGACGAAGCGCAAGUGACGGUACCUGGAGAAGAAGCACCGGCUAACUACGUG
rnacentral:rRNA from 1 species